UGGGGAAUUUUGGACAAUGGGGGCAACCCUGAUCCAGCAAUGCCGCGUGUGUGAAGAAGGCCUUCGGGUUGUAAAGCACUUUUGUCCGGAAAAAAAGCAUUCCCGUUAAUACCGGGGGUGGAUGACGGUACCGGAAGAAUAAGCACCGGCUAACUACGUGCCAGCAGCCGCGGUAAUACGUAGGGUGCGAGCGUUAAUCGGAAUUACUGGGCGUAAAGCGUGCGCAGGCGGUGAUGUAAGACCGAUGUGAAAUCCCCGGGCUUAACCUGGGAACUGCAUUGGUGACUGCAUCGCUCGAGUAUGGCAGAGGGGGGUAGAAUUCCACGUGUAGCAGUGAAAUGCGUAGAGAUGUGGAGGAAUACCGAUGGCGAAGGCAGCCCCCUGGGUCAAUACUGACGCUCAUGCACGAAAGCGUGGGGAGCAAAC
rnacentral:rRNA from 1 species